rnacentral:lncRNA from 1 species
AACAAGGAAAUUUAGUGCGACAUUUUUAAUUUGCAAUUUUUAUUUUUAUUUUCGUUAGUAAAUUUAGCUUUAAUUUCCGUAUAUUAUUUUAUUUUAGUAAUUUUUAUUUUUAUUUUUAAUUUUAAUUUUUAAUUUUAAUUUUUAUUUCUACUUUUAUUUUGUUCUGUAUGGUGCGAUGCUACUAAGGUAGUAUUUGUUUGUUUAUGUGAGGUGCAGAUUCGACGCUGAUACCGAUCGACCUAGAAAUUGAAAGAACAAC